AGCUGUUCAUAUAAGUUG
rnacentral:miRNA from 1 species